GACACUUACCUAGUUGCUUAAGUCAAAAACCUGAAAACUGGUCAGGCCUGCCUGUUACAGGCUCAUGCCUGUAAUCCUAGCACUUUGGGAGGCUGAGGCAGGCAGAUCAUUUGAGGUCAGUAAUUCAAGACCAGCUUGGCCAACAUGAUGAAACCCCGAGAACACUAAAAUUACAGAAAUUAGCUGGGUGUGGUGGCACAUGCCUGCAAUCCUAGCUCUUCAGGAGGCUAAAGCAGGAGAAUUCUUUGAAACAGGGAGACAGAAGUUGCAGUGAGCCAAGAUUGUACCACUGCUUUCCAGCCUUAGAGACACUCUAUCUAAAAAAAAAAAAAAAAAAAAAAAAAGCCAGGCGCAGUGGCUUAUCCCAGCACUUUGGGAGGCCAAGGCAGACAGAUCACCUGAGAUCAGGUGUUUGAGACCAGCCUGGCCAACAUGGCAAAACGCUGUCUCUACUAAAAAUAAAAAAAUUACCUGGGUGUGUUGGCAGGCACCUAUAAUACCAGCUACUCAGGAGACUGAGGCAGGAGAAUCUCUUGAAUCUGGGAAGCAAAGGUUGCAAUGAACCGAGAUUGCACCAUUGCACUCUAGCCUGGGCAACAAGAGCAAAACUCUAUCUCAAAAAAAAAAAAAAAAAAGGAGCAGGAACCCACAUCCAGGAACAGAUCCCUUUGCUCCUCCCUCAGAAUGAAUGGAGACCAGAAAUCAGAUGUUUAUAUGCAAGAAAAGUAGGAUUUUGGUCCUGGCCCAGAGGCUCACACCUGUAAUCCCAGCACUUAGGGAAGGCAGGCAGGUCAUGAGGUCAAGAGAUUGAGACCAUCCUGACCAACAUGGUGAAACCCCAUCUCUACUAAAAACACAAAAUAAUUAGCUGGGCAUGGUGGCACACACCUGCAGUCCCAGCUACUCAGGAGGCUGAGGCAGGAGAAUCGCUUGAAUCCAGAAGGUGGAGGCUGCAGUGAGCCAUGAUUGUACCACUGCACUCCAGCCUAGUGACAGUACAAGACUCCAUCUCAAAAAAAAAAAAAAAAGGCAAGCAGGAUUUCAUUCAGCACUUCUCCCAGAUCAUUAGGGUGCUGACUGAAGAUGAGAUGGGGCACCCAGAGACAGGAGAUGCUAUUGCCUGACUCAAGGAGUUUCCUGGAGUACAGUGCCAUUGGAGGCAAGUAUCACUGCGGUUUGACGGUGCUGGUAGCAUUCUGGGAGCUGGUGGAGCUGUGGAAACAAGAUGCUGAUAGUCUCCAGUGGCCCUGACUGUGGCUGGUGUGUGGAACUGCUAUAAGCUUUCUUCCUGAUGGCAGGUUACAUCAUGGAUUCAUCCCUCACCUGCCAGGGACAGAUCUGCUGGCAUCAGAAGCUGGGCAUGGGUUUGGAUGCCAUCUAUGAUGCUGUGCUUCUGGAAGCACGUAUCUACCGCCUACUGAAGCUCUACUGCCAGGAGCAGCCCUAUUACCUGAAUCUGACUGAGCUCUUUCUGCAGAGUUCCUAUCAGACUGAGAUUGGGCAGACCCUGGACCUCAUCACAGCCCCCCAGGGCAAUGCAGAUCUUGGCAGAUUCAUGAAAAGAGGUACAAAUCUAUUGUCAGGCACAAAAUAGGUUUCAACUCCUACCUUCCUGUAGCUGUAGCCAUGUCCAUGGCAGGAAUUGAUGGUGAGAAGGAGCACCCCAAUGCCAAGAAGAUCCUGCUGGAGAUAGGAGCGUUCUUUCAGAUUCAGGAUGAUUACCUUGACCUCUUUGGGGACCCCAGUGUGACCGUCAGAGUUGGCACUGACAUCCAGGACAACACAUGCAGCUGGCUGGUGGUUCAGUGUCUGCAACGGGCCACUCCCAGAACAGUACCAGAUCCUGAAGGAGAAUUACAGGCAGAAGGAAGCCAAGAAUGUGGCCCAGGUGAAGGCACUAUAUGAGGAGCUGGAUCUGCUGGCCAUGUUCUUGCAGCAAGGAAUACAGUUACAGCCACUCAUUAUGAGUCUCAUUGAACAAUAUGCAGUGCCUGCCCCAGCUAUCUUUCUUGGGCUUCCGUGCAAAAUAUACAAGCAGAAAAAGUGAUCUAGAGACUACAAAGGCAGGGAGAGGAGGCUCUCAAUAAAUAAUUAUGUAAAAAACAAAGAUGGCGAAGAAGAAGUCUGGGCGCUGUGGCUCAUGCCUGUAAUCCCAGCACUUUGGAGGCUGAGGUGGGCAGAUAACUUGAGGUCAGGAGUUCAAGACCAGCCUGGACAACAUGGUGAAGGCUGUCUCUACUAAAAAUACAAAAAUUAGCCAGGUGUGGUGGCUCAUGCCUCUCAUUCCAGCUAUUCCAGCUACUUGGGAGGUUGAGGCAGGACAAUGGCUUGAACCCGGGAGGUGGAGGUGGUAGUAAGACGAGAUUGCAACACUGCACUCCAGCCUGGGCAAAACUCUGUCAAAAGAAAAAAAAAGACAAAAAUUGGGGAAUGUGGGUUGAAGGUACUAUGGAAAGAUACAUGGGCUUUGUGAAUGCAGCAUCGCUUUCGAAGCAGAAAUUGAGAAUUUGUUUACAGUGGUGUGCAUACUGCUUUUUCAAAUGAGGAAGCAGGAAAACAAGGGUCUAGAACUAUGUGUUAGGGGCCUCAUUUAGUCCAUAAAACUUGUGCCAGGUGCAGUGGCUCAUGCCUGUGAUCCCAGCACUUUGGGAGGCUGAGGCGGUAGGAUUACCUGAAAUCAGGAGUUCAUGACCAGGCUGGCCAGCCUGGUGAGACCCUGUCUCUACUAAAAAUACAACAAUUAGCUAGCCGUGGUGCUGUAGUCCUGUAAUCCCGGCUACUCUGGAGGCUGAAGCAAGGGAAUCACUUGAACCUGGGAGGGAGAGGUUGCAGUGAGCCGAGAUUGUGCCACUGCCUCCAGCCUGGGCAACAGAGUGAGACUUCAUUUCAAAACAAAAAACAAAAAAAACAACAAACUUGUGAUUCACAUGUUAGUCUCUAGGGGAGCCCUAUAAUUACAAAUACAGUGACAGUAUUCCCAUUUUACAGAUGAGCAGACUAGGUAAUCAAUGUUCUUUAACAAAUUAACAUUAAAACUUCUGUCAAGAAAUUCCAGGCCAGGCACAGUAGCUCAUGUCUAAAAUGUCAGCACUUAGGGAGGAGGAGGCAGUAGGAUCGCUUGAGCCCAGUUCAAGACCAGCCUACAUAGCGAGACCCCAUCUUUACAAAAAAUAAAAAGUUAGCCAGGCAUGGUGGCACACACCUGUAGUCCCAGCUACUCAGGAGGCUGAAGUGGGAGGAUCACUUGAGCCUGAGAGGUUGAGGUUGCAGUGAGCCAUGAUCAUGCCGCCACUCUCCAGCCUGGGCAACAGAGCCAGUCCAUCUCAAAAAAAGUUUCAUCAUGGCCAAGCACAGUGGCUCAUGCCUGUCAUCCCAGCACUUUGGGAGGCAGAGGCGGGUAGAUGACCUGAGGUCAGCAGUUCUACCAUCUACUCAGGAGGCUGAGGCAGGAGAAUCACUUGAACUCGGGAGGUGGAGGUUCAGUGAGCUGAAAUCCUGCCACUGCUCUCCAGCCUGGGUGACAGCGAGACUUUGUCUUAAAAAAAAAAAAAAAAAAAAAAAAAAAAUUAAAGCAAUAGAAGAGUAAAUAAAAAGCACAAAUGAAGCAGAGCUGCUUAUAGCUUUUUUUUUUGAGACGGAGUUUUGCUCUUGUGGCCUAGGCUGGAGUGCAGUGGUGCGAUCUUCGCUCACUGCGACCUCUGCCUCCCAGGUCCAAUCAAUUCUUCUGCCUCAGACUCCUGAGUACCUGGGAUUACAGGCAUGUGCACCACCAUGCCCAGCUAAUUUUUUGUAUUUUUAGUAGAGAUGGGGUUUCAUCAUGUUGGCCAGAGUGGUCUCAAACUUCUAACCUCAGGUGAUGUACCCACCUCAGCCUGCCAAAGUGCAGGGAUUACAGGCAUGAGCCACCGCGCCUGGCCUUAUAGCUUCUUUUUAAGAGAAAGUACCUUAAGCAUCAUACUCAAAAUCUUAUAAGGAUGGACUAGGUUAAGGCUGAAAAGCAGAUUGUUUUAAUUGCAAAGAGGGUCAAAACCCCUAUUUAUAAAACUGCAAAAUGAUGGAGUCAUUACAUUUUUUAAAAUGACUUCUUGGGAAAAAGAGUACAUGUAAAAAAAAUUUUUUUCAAGGCCAGGUGCGGUGGCUCACGCCUGUAAUCCCAGCAUUUUGGGAGGCCGGGGCGGGUGGAUCACAAGGUCAAGAGAUCGAGACCAUCCUGGUCAACAUGGUGAAACUUCAUCUCUACUAAAAAUACAAAAAAUUAGCUGGGCAUGGUGGCGGCGCGUGCCUGUAAUCCCAGCUGCUCAGGAGGCUGAGGCAGGAGAAUUGCCUGAACCCAGGAGGCGGAGGUUCGGUGAGCCGAGAUUGCGCCAUUGCACUCCAGCCUGGGUAACAAGAGCAAAACUCUGUCUCAAAAAAAAAAAAAAAAAUUUUUUUUAGUGGGGCACAGUGGCUCAUGCCUGUAAUCUCAUACUUUUGGGAGGCUGAGGCAGACGGGUGGAUCACUUGAGGUCAAGAGUUCGAGACCAGUCUGGCCAACAUGGUGAAACCCUGUCUCUACUAAAAAUACAAAAAUUGGCUGGAUGUCAUGGUGCAUGCCUGUAGUCCCAGUGACUAGGGAGGCUGAGGUGGUAGAAUAUCUGGAACCUGUGAGGCAGAGGUCGCAGUGAGCUGAGAUCACAUGAUUGCACUCCAGCCUGGGUGACAGGGAGAUUCCAUCUUAAUAAAUAUUUUUUUAUUUAUUUAUAUGAUUUGAUAAAGUUAAAUGAAAUUUUUCAUUUUAAACCAAAAGGAAAAACCAAAACCUUACCCCCAUGAGUCUUCAGAAAUGAGACUUCAUUCAACUUCCAUAUACUUUUCCAUACUUACUUUUUUACAAGGUGCCAUAAAAUCCUAGGAUACCUUCCCAUUCCUGUCUGGCCAGCAGAAAAAACAUGCCUUCCUCAGGGAGUGCCUAAAAUCCACAUGGUUAGUAAGCUCUCAGUAAACCACACAAGCCAUACUCUCCCCAAAACCUUAACAAUCUCCUGACCUGAUUGUCCACUAUAAUGCUAUCACCCAAUGCGUUAACCAUCUUAGAGAAAGGGAAUACUUUGCACAGAGAGUUGUAUAACUCCUAACUGGCCUCCCACCCACCCACUCUAUUUCCAAAGUGGUCUUUUAAAAUACACACCUGAUCAAAUACUCCCCUAACUGAGCCUCCUCUCCCCACAGCCAAGCCUAAUUUUAGUCCUUUAACAAACAUUUUAAGGAUCUUGACUUUCUCUACUGGCAGAUUUUAAACUCAAGAUUUUAAGGUAUUGUCUGUUUUGCCACUUUCUACCAUUCACAGAGCCUGGCAUGGUGCUUAGUACAUAGUAAGGUAGUGGUUUUUGUUUUUCGUUUGUUUGUUUUUGAGACCGAGUCUCGCCUUGGCACCCAGGCUGGAGUGCAAUGGCAUGAUCUUGGCUCCCUGCAACCUCCGCCUCCCUGCUUCAAGUGAUUCUUCUGCCUGCCUCAGCCUCCUGAAUAGCUGGGACUACAGGAGCCCGCCACCACACACGGCUAAUUUUUGUAUUUUUACUAGAGAUGGGUUUUCACCAUGUUGGUGGGGCUGGUCUCGAACUCCUGACCUCUUGAUUCACCUGCCUUGGCCUCCCAGUGUACUGGGAUUACAAGUGUGACUGAGACCGGUGGUAGUAAUUUUUUUUUUCUUUUGAGACAGAAUCUUGCUGUGUCACCCAGGCAGGAGUGCAGUGGUGCCAUCUUGGCUCACUGCAACCUCCACCUUCCAGGUUCAAGUGAUUUUCCUGCCUCAGCCUCCUGAGUAGCUGGGACUACAGGUGCCCCCCAUCAUGCACAGCUAUUUUUUUUUUCUUUUCUGGAGACAGUUUCACUCUUGACACCCAGGCUGAAGUGCAAUGACACAAUCUCCACUCACUGCAACCUCCGCCUCCCAGGUUCAAAUGAUUCUGCCUCAGCCUCCCAAGUAACUGGAAUUACAGGCGCAUGCCACCACACCUAGCUAAUCUUUGUAUUUUUGGUAAGAGACAGGGUUUCACCAUGUUUACCAGGCUGUUCUCGAACUCCUGACCUGAGGUGAUCCACCCACUUUGGCCUCCCAAAGUAUUGGGAUUACAGGUGUGAGCCACCUUGCCCCACUCACCAAGCUCAUUUUGGUAUUUUUAGUAGAGACAGUUUUCACCAUGUUGUCCAGGAAGGUCUUGAACUGAUCUCAAGUGAUCCAUCUACCUUGGUCUCCCAAAGUACUGGGAUUACAGGCAUGAGCCACCACUCCCUGCCAGUAAUGUUAUUUUUAAAAUGGUUCUUUACUGACAUUAGGAAGGCCACUGAACACUGCCUUGAACAAAUAUUGUCAUAUAUCAAGUGUAACACUACUUGAUUAUUAUGAUGGCCACUACAAGCUUUUAUGAGAGUCUCCUCUGUUGCUUCAGCUGGAGUGCAGUGGUGCGAUCUCAGCUCACUGCAACCUCUGGCUCCCAGAUUCAAGUGAUUCUCCUGCCUCAGCCUCCCCAGUAGCUGGGAUUACAGACACCCACCACUACACCCAGCUAAUUUUUUCUAUUUUUAGUAGAGACGGGGUUUCACCAUUGGCCAGGCUGGUCUCGAACUUCUGACCUCGUGAUUCGCUCUGCCUUGGCCUCCGAAACUGCUGGGAUUACAGGCUUGAGCCACUGCACCCGGCCUAUGUGUUUCUUAAAAACCCUCCCUGACCACCUGUGGUUUUGUGGUUAUUACAAUAACCUGAUUCUACUGCUCAUUCCUACCUUCUUGAUAUCUCUCAAAACCACAUGUAUAGUUCUCAUCCCUCCUUCAAAUUAGCUACAUCUCCAUUCUGUUAUUUGUAUAUUGCUUUAUGGUUUAUAACAUGCUUUGAUGUUUCAUUUGAUCCUUACUAUUCUGAAAGAUAGGAACCCUCUUGCUUAGUAAGUGGCUAGGUUUUCAGGGACUUGAAUUUAAUUUUGACUCUGAACUUCAUGCUUUCAUUGAUCAUGCUCUCAAGUCAACUAUCUGCCUGAAUAGAAAGUUAAUACUGUAAUCAUUUAUUUCUCAAGGAUUACUGCAGUUGCUUUCAAAACUGUGUGUGCAUAAAAUUCCUUUGGAGCUUAGGGAAAACAGCUAUCACAGUCUCAUCACAAAAACUAGGAUGGGAUCAGUAAUAUUAUGCUAUAGUGAUAGCAAUCAUUACUUUAACCCAUGUAUUUUUGUAUGUAUUUUAGCCCAUACACGAAGUACAUAAAUUCCUCAGCUUAGCUCACUAUAAUCUGAUUCACUCUUGCCAUCUUAUCUUUCCUUUUAAAAACCAACUCCUUUUAUUCUGGUUGGUAUCCUCAAAUUUCACCUCUGCUCACAGUAGUUCCAGCAAUAAAGAAUGCCCUUCCUUUUAAAUCAUUACUGUGAAUAAUGGUAAUUAACAGACCUACAAUCUAGUCCUAGCUCUGUGAUAUUGGGAAAACUGUGUAAAAUAGAGGUACACCUAGAACAUGACAUUUCCUUCUAGUUUAAAAUGGAUUAUUACCUGUAGGUCUAGUUUGUACCAAUGUAUAUUCCUUACAUUUUAUAAGAUUUUUUUAGCUGAACUGACUUACAAACUUGAGAAAGCUUCAUAUUCAUGCACAAACAUAGUCAUACACAAAGCCCAGGCAUUGGGAAAUAGAUUAUAGUGAUUAAAUUCAAGUGUCCCAGAGGAGCUGCAGUCUUGAGUCACAGCUUUCUUAAGUCUCAAUUUCCUUUAUAUUUUUCAACAUCAAAAGGGAAAGUAAUGUGAAAAAAAAGACAGGCUUGUAAAAACAGCACUAUACAAAUACAGAAAUUAUAUUGUUUCUGAUGGCUGAUAAAAUAUCAAAAAAAAAAGUGCUUCCAUAAAAGUUUUAUUUAUCCCCACAACAACCCUGUGAGGUAGGGUGACCAGGGCAUUUGAAGAUGAGAAAACUAAAUCUACAUUACUUGUUCAUGGCUAUACUGCAUAGUAAAUAAGUAGAAAUUAAAUUGAGAUUUUUAAAUGUCCAUGACUUUAUAUUGAUUCACGUGGAAACAGGCAGAGAGAAUAUUAACUCCCCCCUACCUUAAUGCCAAAAGGACACUGCCUUGAAAAAUCCCAUUUGAAAAGAUGAAAGUAGUAUUUCAUUGCUUAUUUCUACAAAUAUUUAUAAAAUAAAAAAAUAGUGAAAUAUUUUACAGAUAAUAUAUAUAACGGUCUCAUUCAGAGACAUGUCCUUUAGCUAUGUAUAUGGUCAACUAUUCCAAGUCUUAGAAAUGCAAACUCUUAAAAAAGUAUGAAAGACAAAAAUGAUGAGCAGUAGCCUCAAUCUUCUUUAUUAUUCCUCCAUGUAUCUUGAAUAAGCUGUGAAAUCUGGUCCCAGUUUAAAAAACAACAAUUAACAACAACAACUCUAUACCACAAAGAGAUGUCUGGUAAACUUUAAUUUUGUUGCCUACUAUCAGAAGAGUGCACAUUUACCUAAAACAUCAAUUUCCCAAUACUGGCUAUUAGAAUCACCAGGAGAUUUAAAGAAACAGAGAAACAAAACAAAACAAAACAAAACAAUCCAGAACUCUCAAGCCCCACUGGAGAUCCAGUGGGACACUUUUC